CAGAGCGUGAACCCUUGGAAUGAAACUUCGGUCGAAUGAAGAGGGGGAAAGCGGCGGACGGGUGAGUAACGCGUAGGCAACCUGCCCCGUACAGAGGGAUAGCCUCGGGAAACCGGGAUUAAUACCUCAUAACAUCUUUCGUUCACAUGGAUGAAAGGUCAAAGAUUUAUCGGUAUGGGAUGGGCCUGCGUCUGAUUAGCUGGUUGGUGAGGUAGCGGCUCACCAAGGCGACGAUCAGUAGCCGACCUGAGAGGGUAAACGGCCACAUUGGAACUGAGACACGGUCCAAACUCCUACGGGAGGCAGCAGUGGGGAAUAUUGCACAAUGGGCGAAAGCCUGAUGCAGCAACGCCGCGUGAGCGAGGAAGGCCUUUGGGUCGUAAAGCUCUGUCGGGAAGGAAGAUAAUGACGGUACUUCCCGAGGAAGCCCCGGCUAACUACGUGCCAGCAGCCGCGGUAAUACGUAGGGGGCGAGCGUUAUCCGGAAUUAUUGGGCGUAAAGAGUGCGUAGGUGGUUGUUUAAGCGUGGGGUGAAAGGCAAUAGCUCAACUAUUGUAAGCCUCGCGAACUGGGCGACUUGAGUGCAGGAGAG
rnacentral:rRNA from 1 species